UACGAAGGUGGCAAGCGUUGUUCGGAAUCACUGGGUUUAAAGCGUACGUAGGCGGAACAGAAAGUGUUUUGUGAAAUCCCCCGGCUUAACCGAGGAAUUGCUUGGCAAACUACUGUUCUUGAGGCAAGUAAGGGUGCAUGGAACUCUUGGUGGAGCGGUGGAAUGCGUAGAUAUCAAGAGGAACGCCAAAGGUGAAGACAGUGCACUGGGCUUGCCCUGACGCUGAGGUACGAAAGCGUGGGGAGCGAACGGGAUUAGAUACCCCGGUAGUCCACGCUGUAAACGAUGUCUACUAGGUUGUGGGAGUUCUGACACUCCCGCAGUCGGAGCAAAAGUGUUAAGUAGACCGCCUGGGGAGUACGGUCGCAAGGCUAAA
rnacentral:rRNA from 1 species